UACGUAGGGUGCGAGCGUUGUCCGGAAUUAUUGGGCGUAAAGGGCUCGUAGGCGGAUAUUUAAGUCAGGGGUGAAAUCCCGGGGCUCAACCUCGGAACUGCCUUUGAUACUGGGUAUCUUGAGUAUGGAAGAGGUAAGUGGAAUUGCGAGUGUAGAGGUGAAAUUCGUAGAUAUUCGCAGGAACACCAGUGGCGAAGGCGGCUUACUGGUCCAUUACUGACGCUGAGGUGCGAAAGCGUGGGGAGCAAACAGG
rnacentral:rRNA from 1 species